AUGCUUGGGGAAGAGGAUGAGAAAGGUGUUGAUGUGCCAGAGGAUUUCCUUGUCCCGGAGGAUUGCAAGCUUGAUGAUGGUGAUGGUGAUGUGACACCGUAUUUUGACAGUGCAGAUGAUUUCUCUUAUGAUGAAGCAAGUGAUGGGGAUGACAUGCUUAAGAGGAAGAAGACAGAGCACAAAGUUUAUGAUAGUACUUCUGAAAUUCCUUUAUUCUCUGUUGGUAUGGCCUUCCAUGACAGUAGGAAGUUCAAGAAUGCAUUGGUGAAGUAUGGACUGAAAACGUAUCACCACUUGUUAUUUCUAAAAGACGAGAAGAAGAGAGUAAGUGCAAAAUGUAGUGGCCAGGCUGUCCUUGGAGUAUUUAUGGAUCCAUUACCAGCAGGUCUGAUUGGUUGCUAG
rnacentral:rRNA from 1 species